UUUCUUCCUAUUUUACAUUAUCGAUUAUUCAUUCUAAUCAUUGGUACAUUUUAGGUAUACAAUAUAAUGACAUUCAUCAUUGGAAAUUUGCGAUUGUGCCUGUCUUAACAGUCGGCCAGUAUUGUAAGCGGCUGAGCUUGGGUUAGCGCAUAAAAGGUCUCGAUCAGAAAUCUGCUCUCAUGAGGGUGCAGGAGUGAAAAGCAACAUCAGUGACAAAAACAGAGGACAAAAAGCUUUGUUCUCUUAGAUUUUCUUACUGCUUACUUAGUAUUAAAACCAUGACUUCUGCCAGGCAUGGUGGCACAUGCCUGUAAUCCUAGCAUUCUAGGAGGCUGAGGCAGGAGGAUUAUAAAUUCAGGCCCAGCCUGGGCAAUUUAGUGACUUAACAAAAAUAAAUAAAAAAUAAAAAAGGGCUGGGGAUGCAGCUAUGUGCAAAGGCUCUGGGUUCAGCCUCCAGUGUGGGGGUGGGGGGACCCAAAACAAAACCAGGCAGUGAUGUAUUGUUAGUAGGAAGGUGAAUGAUAAUAUCCCCACUCAGUUACUUACUGGCAGGCGAUGGAAAUAGUUAAGUAAGUUUUCAGCUGUAGGAAAGUUAGCAAAAUAUGCCCGAUCCAAAAAGCCCCAAAACGUUACGUCGCAUUUAAAAAGAAAGUUCUGGAGGGUGGGGCCACCGAGAGGAGGGGGCAGCCGAGCUGCAGCGCCAGCCCCGCGCGUGCGCACAGGGACCGCCCGGCGCCCUGGGGGACCCACGGCGCCUGGACCGAAAAGCGUGGGGCGAAGGGGCUGCCCAGGCCUGGGUCCCUCUUGAGAACCAGCAGCACUAGAGCCCGGUGUGGUGGUGCAUGCCUGUGAUUGCAGCACCAGGGAGGCUGAGGAAGGAGGAUCUCCAGGCCAGGCUGGGCUACAAAGCGAGACCCUGUCAAACAAACGAACGAACGAACGAACGAGAAAACCAAAAAACAAAGAGGUGAGCGCAGCAGGAGUCACGACCAGGGAGACUGAAGUACAGCGCACAGACGCCAGAGGGAGCCAGAGGCUUCGAGCUCAGACAGGAAACGGGCAGAUGGGAAAUUACGCUGACAAAGCCGGACAGUUUAAAAGACCUUCAAACAAAAGCAGAAGACAAAGCAAAGAACGCUUCAAAGCUUCACAGCUUUACAUCUCCAAGAUAAAAGUGAAGACUAUGCUGUGAUUCAUCUAAAAGACAAAGAGAGCCAGCUUGACUUUCCUGCCACGUGGACUUCUCACUCCAUCUCUGAUGCUAAGAUCAAGUUGAUCAGAACCAGAUGACCAGGACAAGAAGCCGAGGACAGCAGAGAUGAACAGCAAGCCCAAGGGCCUGGACCAGGCCAGCAAAAAUCCAACUUCUCAUGCUCCUUCUUUUAGGAUUCUCUGAUCCUGCCCAGAGAAGCCCUGAUUCAUGGAGGCUCAACGCUGUCAUUCCACCAGCAACCUGCCAGUGGCUGGCUCUGCCAUGGCUGGUCUAUAAAUUCCUUCUCAAAGGAUAAUGAUGCAAUUAUUGUCCUUAUAACUAAUUUCUCCUCAGUACCCCCUUUCAUAGACCUCAAUACGUUACCUACUGAGUUUGUCUGUAUCCUCCUCACACCAAAUGUGUCCUGUGUUUUUUUCUUACCCUACCUAAAGAAUCACCUAUAAUGCUUUCUGUCCCUAAAUCCAAAAACCCCAUGGCUAUAAUAAAAAAAAAAUCAUAAGACUGAGUAAUAGUCAAAGCACUAACAUGUGCCUGUUAAACAUCACCACCUUAGUUCCCAGCUCCAUUAAAUUCUUACAGGAUUCUUUCUUCAAUAGGAAAGACCCACUAUCAUUUCUUGGCCUUUUGGCUAAGAUCAAGUGUAGGAAAGACCCACUAUACCCAACCCCUGUGGGUACAAUUUGGUGAGGCUCUUUUUCUUCUUUUCAGUACCAGGGAUCGAACUCAGGACGUUGGCCUUGCAAAGCAGGUGUGGUGUCGCUGAGCUAAAACCCUGACUCUCUUGGUGAGGUUCUUUUACUCUUCAUCUCUGGUAUUCCUUUAACUUCACCUGUCAGAGUAAUUUUACCCCACUCUUCUUGCUAUCCUAAUACCAUUCUUUGGUUUUACAGUCUCACCAAACUUCUACCCCAAAGUGAGGCCCUAAACUUCCAGAAUGUGUGUAACCCUUGCAGGUGCCUCCUGGUUGGGUCUUUGUGGCUACUAUGAGGGCAGAGGGCUGCUGUGACUGCCUGACUCCUGGAAAAUGGGAAGACUGUGCCCACUGGGGUGCUCGACGACCCCCUGUCCUUCUCCAGUUAAUGACUCCAGUGGAC
rnacentral:lncRNA from 1 species